rnacentral:rRNA from 1 species
UACGAAGGGGGCUAGCGUUGCUCGGAAUCACUGGGCGUAAAGCGCACGUAGGCGGCUUCUUAAGUCGGGGGUGAAAUCCUGGAGCUCAACUCCAGAACUGCCUUCGAUACUGAGAAGCUCGAGUCCGGGAGAGGUGAGUGGAACUGCGAGUGUAGAGGUGAAAUUCGUAGAUAUUCGCAAGAACACCAGUGGCGAAGGCGGCUCACUGGCCCGGUACUGACGCUGAGGUGCGAAAGCGUGGGGAGCAAACAGG